UCAAUUUUUUUUUUUUUUUUUUUUUUUUCGUUUAGCGCACAUAGAGCGCUGCCAUCGCAGAUGCUAGAUCAUCGCAGCUGCUUUAGCCAAUCACAUAGAUUGGGCGAAAAUUUAAAUGCUGAAACUUUUGCAGCUUUUCCCACUGCAUGAUCAUAUGUGAUGAUUGCGUGAGCACAUCAGAAGUUGAAAUGUAGUGUCGGGAAAGCAAAUCAUCGCUUGAAAAUUCCGGAAUAUAGAUUGAAGCGAAAACUGCAGCAUCGAAUGGCAUUGCUUCAGAAUGGAAAGCCAGAAAACGCCUGUUUUAAGGAAGAUACCAUCCUGGUUGCGGUCCUUUAGAAUUUCAAAAGAUGCAUCAGUGCCUGAGGACAAGGAAGGCAGGCCUGCUUCCUGCCAAACAAAGCGGUUUCUUCGUUCUUACCGCCGAAGUCUUGGUUCAAAAAAGAGUGGAGAGCAAGGGGAGGAAAAUAAUCAUGAAAGCCAAGAUGUUGCUAGAGCAUCUCUGAUGUCAAUACGUAAAAUUUGGGCUGAAGAGGCAAAGGCACAGGCAUUUAGUGAAAGGAGCACAUCUGAACGAAGAUCGAAGAAGUCAUGUGCUCUGAGGAGCAAACUUCUUGGAAGCCCAAGUAAAAUUCCCAUCUCGGAAAAAAUGCAGGCACAUCAAAGAGGGCUUCAGUCUUCUUUGAAUCACAGCUGCAAUUCUCCUAACAAAGAAAACUUUGCUCCACCAUCUGCUGCAAAAUGCAAACACUAUGGGAACCAAAGUUCAGUAGGAAGUUCUGAUGGUAAUCUUGCCUCAGAAAUUGUGUUGAGUGCCGCAAGGCAUGCGAAAAAUAGAAGAAGUUUGGCAAGAGAACAAGAUGUUUGGAGAAAAGCAGUCAACAAUAUAGGCCUCCCUAGAACAUCUACAGAAUUGGGGCAGUUACCCAAAGUUUGCAAUGAACAUUUGCUGGGGCUAUCGCCAGUCAUGGGGCCGCCAAGGAAUCAAAAGCAUGAAAGAGUUAGAGAUUGGGUAUUAUGCAAUGGUGACUGGAGCAGUGGCAUUUCAGCACAGCAUGCUUUGCCUUAUAUGCAGCACAAGCGCCAACCAGGUCACCUUGCUAUGGAGGAAACAGUUCCAAAGUCUGUUGACUGUGCUCCUAAAGUUCCACCGAGAACUUACCUUGCAAAACUGGCGCACGCUAAGGCACAUCUUGCAAAAACUGCAGCCCCUUUGGCCAAUUGCAAAAUUCCAGCAGCCACACAAAAUCUUGGUGGAGCUAAAAGUGGUAUCUCUAAAUAUGGCCAUUCUCUAAGCAAUCAAGCAAGUCAAGACUGCUCUUUGCUUUCAAGAGUAGCACAAAAACAGCAAGUACCGCAUGAGAGACACAGGAAAUUGUGCGCUGAAGUUGGCACGCGCUCACAGACACUUGCCUCAAGACUUCAGCAGCAGCCAAAAAGAGCUGUUAGGCCGCAGAUUCAGCAUAACCCAGUCUAUAGCAUUGAUUGUACAUCAAGAGCGCAGAAGCUAAACAAAAACUGCAGCACUGGAGCAACUGAUGUUAUGGCUGAUGAUGAGGCUACAGUUCUGAACUGCAGCUGUGAAAGGUGCCUUACGAAGUUUAAUGCAGCUGGCAGACAAGUGCCCGGGAGGAAGGGUGACUUUCAUACUAAUUAUCCACAUGUGAUGGGACAACUAGCACUUAAAAACUGUUUGUCAAAAAAUGGUAAGAAAGCUGCUACUUUGAGUCAUCAUUGCGAAUGCUGCCAAUUCAAGAAGACAUAUGAGGAAUUAAAGGUUGCUGAUGACAAAGUAGGAUAUUCAAUGCACACGAAACCUUCAUGUGAGAAAAAUUUGGACCAGGCAGCUAAAUGCAGCACUAGCAACAAGCAUGCAUUUCAGUGCCAGGAUGAGAUAACCAAAGUCAUUGAGGAAGCUGUAAAAGCAAGCAUUGAAAAGUUGUUAUCAGUGAAUUCAAAUCCACAGCUGAGUAAGGCACGAUCAGUGGAAAAUCUCCACGAGCAGGCAGAAUGCAAGAAGGCUGUUGCUUCACCUUUGAAGUACAUUCUUCUCUCGUCAUGCAGAUCUGGCACUGCAGAUUCCCUGUUAGACUCUACUGAAGAAGUUAAAGUGGACAGUGGCAUUGCGUCCUAUCACCAGUCAUGUCUCACUGUGGGAACAGUGAAGAAAGUGACAAAUAAUAGCACUGACACUGUGAACAGCUGUUCACAGUGGCACCAGACAAAGGUUGUCCUGGAGCGAACUGCAUCACUCCCAUCAUUAGUAGAAAGCAGCAGUCCUGAAAAACUAAGAGUAUCAACUGCUUUCAUAAAGCUUGUAAAGAGGGUGAGUUUAGGCCAAGGUAAUGAAGGAACUUCAUCACAUCACAGCUCCUUUUUAGAUGUGACAAUGAACCAGGGAAGCGUGGCAUCACAAGAAUCAUGCAGCCAAUAUAGCAGUGGUGGUACUGAAGGUUGUUGGCAGACUGCUGAAAGUCACAAUGCAGAAGAUUCUUGUAGCCAGUCAGAAAAAGUUUGUGACUCAAUGGUUCAAGAUGAAGGAAAUGUGUCAAGCUCACGCACUGCUGAAAAUGGCCACCUCGGAGAAGAAUAUAAAUUUCAAAUGCAGCAAUCGGCAAGUCUACCAAGACUUGAGCUUGACUCGUCUAGCUCAAGUAUAGGUAGUGCAUCAAGCCGAAAGCCACCCGAUGGCUGGGAGAGAACACCACCAUCUGAUGCACCUGAUGUAGUUGAUAUCAAUGAUGAUGAGCCAUCUGAGCUAAAUCCUUGCAUACCUGAUGCACAAGGAGAAUGCUUCUCAAGUGAUAGUGAAGGAAGUGAUGACCAGCACAUUCUUGAGGAGGUGAUCAGGAAAGGCAUGGGUAUGACACCACCAAUCAAAUUACCAACCAGAUGUCCGAAACUGGUGAAAACUCCUAGAAAGUUCAAGUCAGCUGAAAUGUUUUGUGGUAAAGCAAAAUUGAAGCUGGCUGCCUAUGUAAACAGUGGACAUGUCACUGUACAUGUCAUCAGGGCGGCUAAGUUGGUGACUUCCCGAGGAGGAUCUGCAAAUGCUUACAUUAAGGUCUCCCUCCAACCAGAUCACAUAAAAAGAGCUCACUGGAGAACAGCUGUUGUGAAGUCAAGCAGAAACCCAGAAUUUGACCACAAGUUUUCAUUUGAGCUUAUGGCAGAAGAUGCUGGAAAACGUCUCUUGGUGACAGUAUGGCAUCGAGAUUUUGAAAACAAGCGCAGUGAGCUUCUAGGUAGUAUGUCUUUUGGAAUGGCAAAAGUCCUGAACUCCGACCAGCACGUGAAGGGCUGGUACAGACUUCUGCGGCAAGACCUUGGAAUGCGUAGGCACUUUGCAGCACGGUGUUCAAAGGGAACAUGCACAAGGAUCAAGGCAUUAUCUCUUGAAUGAAUUUUUACCCCAUUCAAGGAAAUGUAUAUGUGCCCUUGGUUUGUUAGACACGAUAACUCACUGUGCUUGCGAGUGAGCAGUGACUGCAGGUAACAGUUCUUACAGCAGGAUACUUCAUAAACACAAGCUUCACUGUAUUUUUGUAAGCAGUGAAGGUUCAUUGCCUUACAUAAGAGAAUUGUAAAACACAGGUUGCUUUGUUACAUUUAUGUUUCGUGACAUGAAGGAAGUCGGCACACAAUUGUCAUGUAUGCACUGCAGGCAGUGCAGGUCAGUAACUUAAAAAAAAAAAUGCUUUUCAGCUGCUUGCCUCCAGUGCUUGAAGACAGCAAGCUGUAUUUUGCAAAAAAUGAAACAUUGCUUUGACAACAUUUGCUGAGCAUGAACACAUGAACAUAUAACUGCUUGUACCCCAUUCUUGAUGUGUUAAACUGUGCGACUUUGCUGAAGAAAAGAAAUGUGAAAGACUAUGUUACUAGCAUAUAUUGUGUGGUGACUUUAUCAUUUGUGCAAGACUAUGCUAAGUAUAUGACAGUAAGAGGAUAGAGGGUAUGGUGUGAAGUGCGUUAUUAUUAUUUUUUUUUAACAACUUUUCAUUUGCUACACAGAAAGCAUCACACAGGAAGCAUCAAGAAGGCAUGACUGUUUUGUUGUGUAGAUUUAAGCUUAGUAUGUGUGAGUGGCUGUAGUGGUUCCUUCUCAGGGUAAGCUUUAAAUUUCCUUUGUUAUUUUUGUAUAAUGUUGGCUGUUGAUUUUUGUUUUCAAGUGCAAUUUUUUGUUGACUAUUUUUCAUUAUAUUGUGCCUUAUUGUUCUCAUGUACAGAAUUAACUACUCUUUCAAAUCAAUUCCCCCAUAACAAACUUAACUUUUCCUAGUUUUGUACUGGUUGUUUGUUGUAUAUCUUGUUUACAGUCUUGAGGAUGGGAAAAACACAAUCAGUGGUUAUCAGUAUGUGUGUGUG
rnacentral:misc_RNA from 1 species